GAGAGAGAGAGUGAGAGAGAGAGGUGGGGAAGGUUAAAGAAAGGAAAAAAAAAUAUCUAAAACUGUCCAACGACAAUUUUAAUUCUAAAGUGAUGGUUCUAAACUUUUCCU